rnacentral:lncRNA from 1 species
UAUGAAAACAAUUUUAAUUGUUUUUUGAUUUAUACUCGGGUAAAAUAUUCGUUUUCUUAUUUUAAUUUAUAGUUAAACCAUAUAUUUUAUCAUUAUUUUAUUUUAUGGUUUAUUUUCAAGAGAAGGCAGAGACACCAACAAAAAGCUUUGAAGUUAAUGAAGGUGAAGAGGAGGCAGAUAACUAUAAAAAUCUUUGCAGCUAAAGACAGUGAAGAGAAGGCAGAGAAGCCAAUAAAAACCAUUGUAGAUUAAGAUAGUGAAGAGAUAGUAAAUACAAAAAAAAGCUACAUAGUUGAUGAUACAGAAGGUAUGUAUUAUUCAGUGGCGCACGAAUGAAAUAAAGAUUUUUAUGUAAACUUAUUUAAAUAUUUAAUUUAAACAUCCCACCUGGUGAAAAAAUAUGUGAAGAGCUUUAAAACAUGUAAUCUUCAAUAAAUGUAAUAGUCGUUAUUUUAUUAGAUAAAAGACUUAAGCUUAAAUUUUGAUAAAAUUAUGCUUAAAUUGCAUUUCAUAAAUAGAUCACGGAAUAAUAAAAUGUAUCCAUAUUAAAAACCUUGUAAAAGUCUUAGGAGGCUGCAAGGUAUAUGAUUAUUCGUUACAAGACACUUUAAACGAAUGUCUCAGUGACGAAUUUGUUAAUAUUUAUCUCAAAA